GCAGGAACUAUAACAAAAUGGUGCAACUACAUCUAUUCGUGGACUUUGAAAUAGAAACAAGGCUUGCCAUUGCCCUCGCUGAUGUUGUGGGACAGAGCUAGUGUAUGUGUACAGAAGUUACGGUGGUGUUCUGCUGCUUUAGAUAGAGCUGUUUGGUGGUUGUUUUUAGUUCUGUUAAUUAAGAGUGUCUUACUGCCGGACAAGAAGUCUUAUAAAGGAUGGAGUAGCACGUGCUAGCUCGCAGCUUAUAUAUAUGCCCCAAUAUGUGCUGUGUAACUGCUUUUUGGACUGCUUGAUAGCUCUUCUCAUUGUUGCUAGGCAACAGGAAGUUGGAAAGCCAAAAGAUGAAGCCAUACAUUUGUUCAAGUUCAAGCUAGGUGUGAAGAAAAUUGCUGGCGGAUUUAAUUGAAGAAUUAAUUGUGGGAUUAUUGUGAUUAUAAAGAGAAGUAAAGAGGGAGAAGAGAAGACAAAACCGUUGAAGCUAAAGAGCCUAUUUUAUGUCAUUCAUAGCCAUUUAACGCC